rnacentral:rRNA from 1 species
AUAUUGCACAAUGGGGGAAACCCUGAUGCAGCGACGCCGCGUGGAGGAAGAAGGUCUUCGGAUUGUAAACUCCUGUUGUUGGGGAAGAUAAUGACGGUACCCAACAAGGAAGUGACGGCUAACUACGUGCCAGCAGCCGCGGUAAAACGUAGGUCACAAGCGUUGUCCGGAAUUACUGGGUGUAAAGGGAGCGCAGGCGGGAAGACAAGUUGGAAGUGAAAUCUAUGGGCUCAACCCAUAAACUGCUUUCAAAACUGUUUUUCUUGAGUAGUGCAGAGGUAGGCGGAAUUCCCGGUGUAGCGGUGGAAUGCGUAGAUAUCGGGAGGAACACCAGUGGCGAAGGCGGCCUACUGGGCACCAACUGACGCUGAGGCUCGAAAGUGUGGGUAGCAAACAGGAUUAGAUACCCUGGUAGUCCACACCGUAAACGAUGAUUACUAGGUGUUGGAGGAUUGACCCCUUCAGUGCCGCAGUUAACACAAUAAGUAAUCCACCUGGGGAGUACGACCGCAAGGUUGAAACUCAAAGGAAUUGACGGGGGCCCGCACAAGCAGUGGAGUAUGUGGUUUAAUUCGACGCAACGCGAAGAACCUUACCAAGUCUUGACAUCCCUUGACAGACAUAGAAAUAUGUAAUCUCUUCGGAGCAAGGAGACAGGUGGUGCAUGGUUGUCGUCAGCUCGUGUCGUGAGAUGUUGGGUUAAGUCCCGCAACGAGCGCAACCCUUAUGGUCAGUUACUACGCAAGAGGACUCUGGCCAGACUGCCGUUGACAAAACGGAGGAAGGUGGGGAUGACGUCAAAUCAUCAUGCCCUUUAUGACUUGGGCUACACACGUACUACAAUGGCGUUAAACAAAGAGAAGCAAGACCGCGAGGUGGAGCAAAACUCAGAAACAACGUCCCAGUUCGGACUGCAGGCUGCAACUCGCCUGCACGAAGUCGGAAUUGCUAGUAAUCGUGGAUCAGCAUGCCACGGUGAAUACGUUCCCGGGCCUUGUACACACCGCCCGUCACACCAUGAGAGCCGGGGGGACCCGAAGUCGGUAGUCUAACCGCAAGGAGGACGCCGCCGAAGGUAAAACUGGUGAUUGGGGUGAAGUCGUAACAAGGUAGCCGUAGGAGAACCUGCGGCUG